UACGGGGGGGGGCAAGCGUUGUUCGGAAUUAUUGGGCGUAAAGGGCUCGUAGGCGGUUUGUCGCGUCGGGAGUGAAAAUCCAGGGCUUAACUCUGGACUGGCUUCCGAUACGGGCAGACUAGAGGUAUGCAGGGGAGAACGGAAUUCCUGGUGUAGCGGUGAAAUGCGCAGAUAUCAGGAGGAACACCAAUGGCGAAGGCAGCUCGCUGGGACGGUACUGACGCUGAGGCGCGAAAGCGUGGGGAGCAAACAGG
rnacentral:rRNA from 1 species